rnacentral:sRNA from 3 species
AUAUCUCUCCGUACGGGAAGGAUGAGAAGCUUCGACUAAGGUUCGAUUCGAGCGCAGCGAGAACGCGUUGCCGCAGGCAACGACCCGAAGGGCGAAGCGCGCAGCGCUGAGUCAUCCUU